AUAACGACUNUCGGCAACGGAUAUCUCGGCUCUCGCAUCGAUGAAGAACGUAGCGAAAUGCGAUACUUGGUGUGAAUUGCAGAAUCCCGUGAACCAUCGAGUCUUUGAACGCAAGUUGCGCCCUAAGCCAUUUGGCCGAGGGCACGUCUGCCUGGGCGUCAAUC
rnacentral:rRNA from 1 species